rnacentral:lncRNA from 1 species
GCACCCACACGCCCAGGUGAGCAUCCGAUAGCCUGGAACAGCACCCACACGCCCAGGUGAGCAUCUGACAGCCUGCAACAGCACCCACACCCCCAGGUGAGAAUCCGACAGCCUGGAGCAGCACCCACAACCCCAGGCGAGCAUCCGACAGCCUGGAGCAGCACCCACACCCCCAGGUGAGCAUCUGACAGCCUGGAACAGCAAACUGCACACCCAGGUGAGCAUGCGACAGCCUGGAGCAGCACCCACACCUGCAGGCGAGCAUCUGACAACCUGGAGCAGCA